rnacentral:rRNA from 1 species
CAGUAGCCGCGGUAACACGAAGGGGGCUAGCGUUGUUCGGAUUUACUGGGCGUAAAGCGCACGUAGGCGGACUUUUAAGUCAGGGGUGAAAUCCCGGGGCUCAACCCCGGAACUGCCUUUGAUACUGGAAGUCUUGAGUAUGGUAGAGGUGAGUGGAAUUCCGAGUGUAGAGGUGAAAUUCGUAGAUAUUCGGAGGAACACCAGUGGCGAAGGCGGCUCACUGGACCAUUACUGACGCUGAGGUGCGAAAGCGUGGGGAGCAAACAGGAUUAGAUACCCCAGUAGUCCCUGUCUCUUAUAC